rnacentral:rRNA from 1 species
UACGUAGGGGGCAAGCGUUGUCCGGAUUUAUUGGGCGUAAAGCGCGUGUAGGCGGCUUUGCAAGUCGGGUGUGAAAUCCCUCAGCUCAACUGAGGAAGUGCGCCCGAAACUGCAGAGCUUGAGUACCGGAGAGGAUGGCGGAAUUCCCCAAGUAGAGGUGAAAUUCGUAGAUAUGGGGAGGAACACCAGUGGCGAAGGCGGCUCGCUGGACCGGUUCUGACGCUGAUGCGCGAAAGCGUGGGGAGCAAACGGG